rnacentral:rRNA from 1 species
UACGUAGGGGGCAAGCGUUGUCCGGAAUUACUGGGCGUAAAGCGCGUGUAGGCGGGCCGGCAAGUCGGACGUGAGAGGCUCGGGCUCAACCCGAGAUGGCCGUUCGAAACUGCCGUUCUUGAGGGUCGAAGAGGAGAGUGGAAUUCCUGGUGUAGCGGUGAAAUGCGUAGAGAUCAGGAGGAACACCCAUGGCGAAGGCAGCUCUCUGGUCGACAUCUGACGCUGAGACGCGAAAGCGUGGGGAGCGAACGGG